rnacentral:rRNA from 1 species
CAGCCGCCACGGGAAUACGUAGGUGGCAAGCGUUGUCCGGAAUUAUUGAGCGUAAAGGGCUCGCAGGCGGUUUCUUAAGUCUGAUGUGAAAGCCCCCAGCUCAACCGGGGAGGGUCAUUGGAAACUGGGAAACUUGAGUGCAGAAGAGGAGAGUGGAAUUCCACGUGUAGCGGUGAAAUGCGUAGAGAUGUGGAGGAACACCAGUGGCGAAGGCGACUCUCUGGUCUGUAACUGACGCUGAGGAGCGAAAGCGUGGGGAGCGAACAGGAUUAGAUACCCCCGUAGUCCCUGUCUCUUAUAC